CAAUUAGAUUGCUCUACAGUCUAUGCCCAUUGCUUUGGUGCAGAAAUUGCUUUGGGUAUCCAACUAGUGCAUAAUAUGUAUAUGUGUGUAUGCACAUACAUGGCAUAUUUUUUAACUACGACGAGGGAUUAGAGACGGUGUAUAGAUUUUGUACAUGUUUAGGCAGAUACUAUUAAAAGGUAGAAUACAAAGACCCAUAUAUGUAUCUGUAUAUGGAAAAUAGGCAGUGACGACCGACAUGGGUAU
rnacentral:lncRNA from 1 species